rnacentral:rRNA from 1 species
CAGCGCCACAAGUGGCGAUCAUUUUUAUUUGGCCUAAAGCGUCCGUAGCUGGUUAAAUAAAUCUCUUGUGAAAUCGUUUCGCUUAACGAAACAGCGUGCAGGAGAGACUGCUUAGCUAGGGACCGGGAGGAGUCAGAGGUAUGCUGGGGGGAGCGGUAAAAUGCAAUAAUCCUCGGUAGACCACCUGUGGCGAAGGCGUCUGACUAGAACGGGUCCGACAGUGAGGGACGAAAGCCAGGGGAGCAAACCGGAUUAGAUACCCGAGUAGUCC